CAACCGGUAGUAUAGCCCGGACUAGUAUGCGGGCCUGUCGAGCCCGUGACCCGGGUUCAAAUCCCGGCCGGGGCGCCA
rnacentral:tRNA from 1 species